UGGCUCAGGACGAACGCUGGCGGCGUGCCUAACACAUGCAAGUCGAGCGGGGAAUGCAGCAAUGUAUUCCUAGCGGCGGACGGGUGAGUAACGCGUGGGCAACCUGCCCUGCACAGGGGGAUAACACAGGGAAACUUGUGCUAAUACCGCAUAACAUACCUAUAUGGCAUCAUGCAGGUAUCAAAGGAGCAAUCCGGUGCAGGGAUGGGCCCGCGUCCGAUUAGCUGGUUGGUAGGGUAACGGCCUACCAAGGCGACGAUCGGUAGCCGAACUGAGAGGUUGGUCGGCCACAUUGGGACUGAGACACGGCCCAGACUCCUACGGGAGGCAGCAGUGGGGAAUAUUGCGCAAUGGGGGAACCCUGACGCAGCAACGCCGCGUGG
rnacentral:rRNA from 1 species